rnacentral:lncRNA from 1 species
UCACAGAAUUUAGAAAACCAUCAAAAUAGUAUGAUUCUCCGUAUGUGAUUGGAAGAGUCAACUUGAACACUUUAAACUGAUCUGAACAAACUGCACGAGGCAUUGCAAAUGUUUACUCGGUGUUGUAUUGAUUCUUGACUGGCUGUUAAUUUUAUACAAGCUAAAGACGACCUUAUUUUGAAUAUAAUUUUGAAAGAGUCAGACCGCUAUUAACUGGUUAUGCACAAGGCAUUUUAGAUUUGCAAGCGGGGAUGAAUCUUGACAGGCUGUUAAUUUUAUAGAAGCUAAUGUUGACCUUAUUUUAAAUAUAAUAGAGUGUUAUUGUCUGGAGGUGUUUGAUAUUCAGUCAGUAGAACAUGCAAAAUAUUGAAAUGAUUUGCUGCUGUGACUGUGUUUAUGAUUAUCCACGGCAAG